rnacentral:lncRNA from 1 species
ACACCAGCUAUCUCCUGCUCCCUGUCCUGCACUGCAAAGGAGGCCUUUUCAUCCUCUCUACUGCCUCCAAUUUUUCUCACGAGGAAUGUGAGAGGAAAACCUAGAGCUUGUUCCUGAAGCAUGGUGCUAAGUCCAUAUGCAGCAGAUGGAGCUCAUGAGAAAAGAGUUGCUCUUGUGAAGACCAAAGCUUGGUGAGGUGUCAGAUCCCCGGCGAUGGAAAGCAGUCAACUCAUGGGUAGUAAAAAGAAUGUAUUGACAACACUAUAGGUUUGAAAAGGAAAGUUUUAUUAGAUGGAAAGAACAGUGCAGAAGACCGCAGCAGAGGACCUCAGCAAGAGAGAACUAAAAAUGGUCAAUUACAAAGCACAACAUAAGACUGGAACAUUGGAGUUAAGUAGCAGAGAUCAAAAGAGGAGAUUGCAGAUGGAGGUGUUGUAUGUGACUGUUUUACAUGGAUUCUUCGCUCUGGUAGCAGAUGUUGAAGAAGCUCUAUGAAUGUCCUGUCUCUAUGUCCCAGUUUGUCAGUUUCAAAUACUCAUGUAUCUGAUUGUCAAUGCUGGAGAGCUGGGGCCAGGGCAGUAGUUGAUGAAUAUCACCUGACUGUCUCCUGCAGAAAAAGCAUUCCCAGAAGCACGGAGAAGUGAGGAGAAAAGGCAAUGCACCUGGAGCUGGAGACCAAGGCCCUGUUCUUACUGAUGGCCCUUGGAGCAGAUAUUUGAAUUGGAGAGAUAAAACCGUGGUUUUUGGGGUGUUAAUUUUGGUGGCUGAUGCAUUCUGUGAUUGAUUUGGCUAUUACAACUGGUAUUGAUUUUAAACACAUUAAUUGCAAAAUCUCAAUUGUGAUUUGAUUUCUGUAUUUACAAUACUAAAAACGAGGCUUUCGCCAGGAGAAGACAAUUGGCAGUACUCAGUUGGAAGUGCUUAAUUGUUAAUAUAUAUCAGCCGUGGUUCUUCAGCGUCGUCAGUGUUGCUCAGUCUUGCUCUUUGUGGCGACUACUGAAUGCUUGAAAAAUUCUCUCCUAUACUCCCACUCUGCACUGUAGAAGAGAAAGAGAGGAGAGUGGAAGAAAAAAGAGAGGGAGAGGAGAAAGAAAGAGAGGAGAGAGAAACAUGGGCAUGGAUGAUACAUAAGGUAGUUGUAAACUGUGAUCAGCUUUGAUAAUAACUAGAUAAAUUCUUUUAAUACAAAAAUAUAUAAGGCAUUUUGCCUUUUUUUCAAAUUUCAAAUAAAUGGAUUUGUAUAGAAUGUAGUCUGUUGCCCAGAGUUUUCAUUUAGCAUAAUGCAUUUGAGAUUUAUCCAUGUUGUUGUAUAUUCUUUUUAUUGCUGAGUAGUAUUCCAUUGUGUGGAUAUACCAGUUUGUUUAUCCAUUAACCUUUGAUGGAUAUUUGGGUUUUUUUCAAUAUGAGGCUCUUAUAAAUAAACCUUCUGUAAUCAGGUCUUUGUGUAGUCACACAGUUUGUUUGUUUGUUUGUUUUUUAAAAAGAUGUUAGUAUUGUAAUUGUGUUUAAUAAGAAACUGUU